GCGUUUGGGUGUAUACGGGCGAGCGCACGCCGAAGGAUUCGCCGGCGAUGAUGCGGACGUCGACGCCGUCCUUCUCCACCCUGCUUAUUUCCUGGCUUUGCAAUUCCUGGUAUCUCGGCUCCAUCCUGGGUAGCGGGAGCGAGAAAGGGGGAAACUUACAUUUUGUCUUUGGAAGAGAGAUUGAUCCAUAACUGCAAUCCUUGGUUUUCGCCGUCGGCAGCCGGCAUCUCUGAGUGCACGAUCCCUCUUCCAGCAGUCAUCCACUAGAGUUCAGUUCGGAGAAGACAAGCAUUAGUUGGAACUCUGUAAACCCUAAAUUCUUACUCUGUUUCAGAAAUCACCUGCAGAUCUCCUGCCCUGAUUGUGCCUUCGUGACCAGCGAAAUCUUGGUGAGUGAAAGCUCCCUGCAUGAUGCAAGCCAUAGGAAAUCGGAAUCACCGAGGCAAUCAGCGAUAAACAAAUUAGGGGAAAAUCUUAUGUGAAUUGCUGCUACCUUCAGCAUGUACGUCACUGUCUCAAAACCUGACAAAACGAAAUUGAGGAGAAGAUUUUUAGAUGUAUCGAUCGGAGAGAACUCCUUGGGGCAAUGAACAAGAGCAGAGUUUCACGAACCUCUGUGGGGAUGAUCCGGGAAUCCAGCAGGAGCGGAAACUGCGAAAGAGAAAUCUCUGAGAACCAGCAAUUAAGAACUAAAACUGGGCAAAAUCGAAAGAAUCGUUCACAAAUUUCAAACCUGUGAACUCGUCCAGCAUCAAAAAAGGAUCCAAGUUCCUCAAUUCCGGCCUGGAGAUCCACAAAAUUUAAAAACCCACACACACACAAAACAGCAACACGUAAAUCGCAGAAGCAAACAAAUAGGCGGAUGUGGGAUCGAUCGCUGACCUUCCAAUGCUUCUCCGGACGGAAGCACCAUCGCCGUCUUCUUGCGACUUGGCGAGGACCUUCUUCACCACCAGCCUGGGCUUCUCAAAGCUCGGGGCGCCGUGAUCUGCCAUGGAACUGAGAUCGUGGAAGAACAAAAGACAAGGAGGCAGAAGGCAAAAGACGCUGAUGAGGAUGAUGAAGGGCUUGAUUGAGGCAGAUCUGGAGUGGGGAUUGAAAUUUAUACCAGCGCAGGGCCGCCUUGUCAUGUUCUUAAUGCGCGUGCGUUUGGCAGCCUUACGGGAGAAUGACGGAAGCCCUCGAUUCAUGCCACCUCGGAUUAACGACAUGACUUGUAUCGGAUAAUUUUAAUUUCUAUAUUUUUCAUUAAAGGAAAUAAUGAAAGGCAAAAAACUAGAUGAAUAUUUUUUCACCACAUUUUACUAAACCCC